CAGUCGCCGCGGUAAUACGUAGGUGGCAAGCGUUGUCCGGAAUUAUUGGGCGUAAAGGGCCCGCAGGCGGUUUCUUAAGUCUGAUGUGAAAGCCCCCGGCUCAACCGGGGAGGGUCAUUGGAAACUGGGAAACUUGAGUGCAGAAGAGGAGAGUGGAAUUCCACGUGUAGCGGUGAAAUGCGUAGAGAUGUGGAGGAACACCAGUGGCGAAGGCGACUCUCUGGUCUGUAACUGACGCUGAGGAGCGAAAGCGUGGGGAGCGAACAGGAUUAGAUACCCGAGUAGUCCCUGUCUCUUAUAC
rnacentral:rRNA from 1 species